AUGCCAGAGUAUAUAUGCAUAUUUGAACAGUCACCUGGAUCUGAUUAAGAAGGCUCAGCCUGUGGGUUUCCUUACUGUUGAUUUACAUGUUUGGCCAGAUUUCCAUGGCAACCGCUCUCCCUUAGCAGAUCUGACACUAAAGGGCAUGGUCACCGGAUUGAAACUGUCUCAGGACCUCGAUGAUCUUGCCAUUCUCUACCUGGCCACAGUUCAAGCCAUUGCUUUGGGGACUCGCUUCAUUAUAGAAGCCAUGGAGGCAGCAGGGCACUCAAUCAGUACUCUUUUCCUAUGUGGAGGCCUCAGCAAGAAUCCCCUUUUUGUGCAAAUGCAUGCAGACAUUACUGGCAUGCCUGUGGUCCUGUCGCAAGAGGUGGAGUCCGUUCUUGUGGGUGCUGCUAUUCUGGGUGCCUGUGCCUCAGGGGAUUUCGCUUCUGUACAGAGUGAUCCAAGAACAGGACCUGUUACUUUCCAUCCAUUGUCAUUCAUAGACCCCUUGAAGCAACCUAGUGGUUGGUAGCAGCGAUCUUUGUGCAGAUGAGGACUCUGAAGCUCAGAAAUGUUGUAUAACUUGUUUAAUACAAAGCGCAUGCUCUUUGUAUUCCAUCAGACCAUAUCCUAUAGAUACAUAUACAUUGCUAGGGAAGUACACUAUGGCAACUGAGACACCUCUCACAAGGUGGUAUGGUUUAUAAGAAAUAGCAUUACACAUUUGUCAUCAUUGCUUGGUUGAGUGUCCAACACAGAAAUAAAAAUAA
rnacentral:sRNA from 1 species